rnacentral:ribozyme from 11 species
AUAUUGUCGUUUCUCCUUGGUUCUUUUUUCUUUUCUCUUUCCGUUCUUCGUUUGCGUUUACUUUGUUCUUUCUCUUGUUUUUUGGAGAUGGGGGAGUGACACACGGGUGAGUUGAGACAUGUCAAAAUAGCGAAUUCCAGAAAGACAGAAGGAGACAGAGGAAGAGUAUUAAAGGCAGUCUUUCUUCCUUUCCAUAACGAGUGAAAGAAAAGAAGCAACCAGU